rnacentral:tRNA from 1 species
GGCCUGAUAGCUGAACUGGUAGAGCACUGCACCAAAAUCUCAGUGGUCAGGGCUCGAAUUGCCUUUCAGGCCC